rnacentral:rRNA from 1 species
GACGAACGCUGGCGGCGUGCCUAAUACAUGCAAGUCGAACGCAGUGGGGACGGGUGAGUAACACGUGGGUAACCUCCCAUCAGAGGGGAUACCACUUGGAAACAGGUGCUAAACGGGUACUGAUGGAUGGACCCGCGGUGCCUUAGCUAGGUGGUGAGGUAACGGCUCACCAAGGCCACGAUCCAUAGCCGACCGGAGAGGGUGAUCGGCCACACUGGAACUGAGACACGGCCCAGACUCCUACGGGAGGCAGCAGUAGGGAAUCUUGGGCAAUGGACGAAAGUCUGACCGAGCAACGCCGCGUGAGUGAAGAAGGUUUUCGGAUCGUAAAACGCUGUUGUUAGAGAAGCGGUAUCUAACCAGAAAGCCACGGCUAACUACGUGCCAGCAGCCGCGGUAAUUC